GUCAGCUGUGGGAGCACAGGUGAAGGUAAUUCAGUUGUGAUCCUGGAAGUGGUGGAGCUCAACUCCAUCUCUCCUAGAUCCCAUUUAAGGGCUGACCACCACUAAAACAGCAUUUAUUUCUGGAGAUUGCUCCUGCGUGGAGUUUUUGUGGCAAGCCUCAGCACUGAUGAAAAUCCACCUCAACUGAAAGCCUCAGCACUGUGUUUCCAACUUAUCUACACAGUUUCUCCUUAAAUUAUUCCUGAGAGCACACGGAACUUAAAACCAGGAUAUAAUCUUUGCAACUUGAUGGUUCCAGCAUUGUGCCAAAUAGCCUGAAAAUCACUUGUGAAAAAGGAGGCGACCAUAAAAACAGAUGAAUCUCUUAUCAGAAAGAGGAAAAUCACCAGACCAAAUUACUGGAAGCUCCGCUAGUGGACCAGCUCUGUGUUUGACUGAACUAAAAACAAAUCCAGAAUUGAAGGAAAAUCUUCAGUAAUCAGAUGAGGAGCAAUUUGUGUCAUACGGAGAUGUAGAAGGAGGAAUUGAACCUUGGAAGUCACUGUAUGUUGCUGUAAAGAAGAGCCCACUCAGGCUGUCAGAACUUAUGCUAACCUUGCUUUUCUGAAUAUCUUAGAAGAUAAAGAAGCACAUGCAGAGGUGCCAAGGAUGAGAACGGUGGCUUUUAUUCUGUCUAGGAAACAGCAUAAGUUGUUGUUGUAAGCAGUAACUCCCUCUGCAGUCACCUAUGCCAAAAUAGCCAUAGAUAUAAGACAGGAAAAGACCAAGUGAGUUCUCUGAGACAAAGACCUAAGAAAACAUACAGAAAUCUUCAUCAGAAGGUAUCUAUGAAGAUAUUUUCCAUCUUCAUGUUACUUAUUUUCUACUAGAGUGAUGUUCACUGAAAGAAGAACAAGUCCUGUAGCUCAUAUUGGUAGGGUUUGCAGAGGUACUAAAAAUUAUAGUCCUUUCUUAAUAGCGAAAUGUCACAGAAUUGGAGCUGAACCUCUUUGAACAAAGGACAAAUUGGACCUGGUUCCACUUACAUCAUCACGUGUUAAUCUCAUCAUGGGAGAAACAAUAAAUCAAGUCAGGUAUGAUUAUAAUCAGCAGUACUUCUAAUAAAUCACACCAGCUAUAUUAAUCCCUGCACAUAAAUAAGGGGCAGACUUGAAAUGAGAUGUUGACACGCUCACCCUCCUGAACACAAUGCAGUGAAAAUAAGAAGGAUUCCCUGAGAAACCUCUGUGAAACUGGGAGCGCAUCUCUGCCAGCUGUGUAGAUUACGAGAUAUUGAUGUGAAAGGUAGCUGGGAGUUCUCGAGAGCAAGGCUGAAGUUGUUUGAAAACACUACUGCCAUUGCGACUGACAUCUGGAUGAAAUGUUGCACACAUAGUCUUUCUUUUUUCUCAGACAAUAUAGAACAAGCUGUCAAGACAUCGAGGAAGGAAAAACAACAGUGAGAAUUCGAUAUGAGUAAGUUUUAAUGACUUCUGCUAAUAUCACUUGACAUUCUGGAUUAUUCUUUCAACUUAUUAUGAUGUGAAAUUCAGUGCUAUAUGUGCAAUAGCAAUUGAGCCACCAUCAUCCUAGCCAAGGGCUCAGUUCUCAGCAGGCAGCAGUGAUGUUAUUCUGCAGCUUGGUGCAGCAUGGGCUGCUCAUAACGUAGCAGUACUCCUCUCCUGUGAGGUGCUGCACAUUCCUGUUUUGAUGCUGGCAUGAUUAAUGGCAGACCAUUAAUUACAAGCAGUUUUGUUAUCUGUUGAUAUGCACUGCCUUUGGAAGCGGACAUUUCCAAAUGUGAGGGAACUCCCAGCUGUGGGCACUUAUUUAGUGACAUCAGCUGUGUGCAAGUGCAAUGACCUGAGAAAGAGAAAGUUCAGAAACCCUCCUAUUUUGUCAAAGGACAAAUAUUCUGGUAGAGAAGGGAUGAUUUAAUUGCAUUUGCCUUCUUUGUUUUUCUGUAUGUACAUAUAUGUAUUCUUCAUUUAUAUAUAAAGUUACAAAUUCACAAAUCUGAACUCGUAGAAGUGACUUCAUGCAUUUUCCACUUCUUUUCCAUUCGAAAGAAAUGGAGGAAGUCUUAUCUAAUGAGAACAGGUUUGCAAAAAAUUCAGUAGCAAAAGCCCUGAGAACUCGUGGAAGAAUUAAACUGUUUCAGAGUUACAGCGUUAUUCAAUCUACAGCAAGUGGAGCCCUAUCAUUUUGGACACAUGCACUCAAAUGUAUGUUACAGAUGUUAAGUAAUAGUCUGAAGAUGCUGGGCUAUUUGAGCCAUUACAAAUUCUUCUCUUUACUUCAGGACCUUUGAGACUGGGUACUUCUGUAAGAGCUCCUACCUAUUGAAUAGUGCAUGGAGAAAAUCAAUCUCCAUUUUUAGAUUUUUGCUUCCAUGAGCAGUAAUUAAUCAUGUUAAACUGGUGGUAUAAAAAUAGAUCAUGUGUAAAACAGCUUCUUAAUUUCCCUGCAGAUCUGUUUCUAUUUUUUUUCUUCAGUGAAUUUAACUCAAAUUCAUAUCAGUGGAAACUUGGUUCAGAAACUGGUGUGGUCACUUCCCCCAUAAGAAUAGAUAAGGAUCUGAAGAACUGUAUAGCUUUUGCUGUGCAGCUUUUCCUAUCAAUUACUUUUAUUUCUCCAUGCAUGCAGUCUGCCUUUUGUGAGA